AUUUCAGUGAAGCCACACUCAGUCCCACGCGCUGUCAAGAAGGACCUACAGAAGAAUAGCCAAUUGUUUUCAUCCCAGCCGGACGACAACAAUUCCCUUACCAAUCUUAUGACAUCCCUUCCGGCCCCGAACAAUAACUUCACUUUGGGUCCCCAUCUGAUGACAUCACUUCCAUCCUCUUCCAAUGACGGCACUUCCGGUCCCCACAUGAUGACGUAACUUCUGGUCCGCAUCUGAUGUCGUCACUUCAAUCCUCUUCUGAUCACGUAACUUCUGAUCCCCCUAUGAUGACAUCACUUCUGGUCACUAUCUGGUGUCACCACUUCCAUCCUCUUCCGAUGACGUAACUUCUGAUCCCCCUAUGGUGACGUCACUUCCGUCACCUCAUUGAAGGCAUCACUUCCAGUUCUUGUACUCAUGUCAUUUCCUGCUCCUCUGUUUGUUGUAAUUUGACUUCCUCUUUCAUGAUAUAAAAGAACACUACCGAUUGUGCCCUGUGGUCAACUGUAAAUCUGACAUCUGACCAGAAGAUCAGUCACUAUUCAUCACUCUUCAUCUGGAGACCACACGGCCCAAAGAAGAAAAAUAACUCACCUGCUAUACUUCUGGAUUCACAAAAUGGCUGCAUACAGUCACUUUCCACUUCCCGUUGAUGACAUCACUUCCAGUUCCUUUCCUAUCCAGUUCCUUUCC